rnacentral:misc_RNA from 1 species
AGGAGUGGUGGGAGAACGGCGGAGUGGGGAUUCGGGCGGGCGAAUGAAGCCGACUUACGGCGAGGAGAGAGGUGGGGAUACAGGUAGGAGGGAUGUUCUUGCGCGCAGGCUGUCAGUCACAAGUUUAGAAGCAGUGUCAUUUCGUCGCUGUACACCGAUACGAUACGACGUGUUCUCGUGCAAACCUUGUGUUCAUAUAUCCCACUCUCGUAUACGUCAGACUUUAUUCCGGAAUUUAGAGAGUUUAAAGAGUCUGUGAAUACGCUUGAUCGUAAUCAGUUUGUCCGUGUCCGUGAUACUAUACGUGUUGAACGGCCUCGUUCCCGAAUUCAGAAUUCCUUAUUCGUUCGCGAUCCUCGGUGGCGCGUGGAUGUGCAAGUCUCUCUCCAGGGUGCAAGUCAAUGUAUCCGAACGGAUUAAAGGAGUCGAUCGGAAUAAAAGUGCCUGAUGUUACUCUCAAGUUAUGGUGCCGGAUGAAAAAACUAUAGAUCAAGUGUUGUGAUCGAUGUAAAUUAAUUACAGAAAUUGAUAAGACGUUCGAAACGCUAAUAAGAACACUCGCAUAUUUAUCUGUGUUUUUUUUUUGGUUUAAUUCGCGUUAAGGGACCAUUCGAAUUUUUUCUUUAUCGUUAUAUCGUGUUAAUAUUAUUUUAAAUAUUAAAAUAUAGUUAUAUAGCAAUUUAGUUUUAUGUUAAAUUUAGUUCUAUAUUAAUUACGUAAAUAGCUAAAUUAAUAUUAAGUUAAUAUUAAGUUAAAAAGUUAACGCGCGUGUUUCGAGAAAUAGAGAAGAAAUCGUGACAAAUACAGAUUUUUUUUGAUUCGAGUGUGGCUCUAUAUGGAAGAGCAAUCUCGUGUGCUUAAGUGCAUCCCACACCAUUUUAAUUGGAUUUUAAGUAUCGAGACCUGCCUUGCAACUCCAUGAAUCGGCCACGACGUUAAGUGGAAAACAUGGAUUUCUCUACAUCUAAAGUGACCGUUAAGAGUGGCUCAGAUCAGGGACAGGAAAACGAAGCACAAGCUGAUGCUGCAUCCUCACCAUCGAGUAUUGAUUUGCCAGAAAGCGCGCAUCCCUGCCCUGCCUGUCCAACAGUGUUAUCUACCUCCAGGGAGUUAACAAAUCAUUUACGUGGUCAUAGUUCACCCCGCAGCACAGAUUGCAGCGGUGAAGAUGAUUACUGUUGCGGUAUUUGCAACAAAGUCCUCAGCUCUGCGAGUUCCCUAGACAGGCACUUAAGAACGGCGCACAGAACUACAUCGCCACACAGUUGCACAGAUUCGGAAGGUAGCAGCGAUUCCGACAAGUCGUCCAAGAGGCGCCAUCUCGAGGAAUAUAAUAACAAUGAAAUCACAAAGAGAAAUUCACCAGAUUUUAUCGAGGGCCAGGAGGAAAGGAGUCCAACGUUACCUGGGAAGAGAAAAUGUUCGGAUUAUUUGAGCGAUAACGAGGGACAGAAAAGGCAUAAGAUUCUCUUAAACAAUUCGAGAACCGAGAUAAAAUCGAUACCGGAUGAUAAUCAGAACGCAUACAAUUGUCCAGUGUGCGGGAGGCAGGAUUUUGCUACUAGUGCCCUCUUAGAGGCGCAUUUGGAAAGAUGCCAUCCCGAGUUCCCCGCUAAAUGCGACACAUGCAAUUUAUCAUUUAAAAACCACCGUGUUUUGAACCUACACCGUUUCAUGAUCCAUUUUGCAGAACAUUCGAUAGGGAAUACUGCAAGAAAUCUGAGAAACUCGGUGGUUGGUUUCAACGAUUUAACAUUCGUUGAUUUCUCGUCGGAUAAAUUCCCAGCUAUAGCCAGAGCCGUAUGCGAACAAUCAUUGCAUCGGCCGGCAUCCGGGGAAGUGACCAAGUUCCAAUGCUCCAAAUGUUUACGAGCAUUUCCCUGUAGAUCGGCAUUAGAUGCUCACGAAACCGAUUGUGGAACGACAAAUUCCCAAAUAAGAACGACCGACGAUAGCCAGUCGAGGAGGGACGAUUUCUUUGCCGGUUUAGAUCUUCAAAAUAAGGCUGCUUUAACGGAAGCCAAAGAGGGGAAAGAUUUAGCCGAUAUCCAGAGUAUCAUAUCGGUUACUUCUGGGCCGAUUUUGCAAAAUUUCCCUCGAUCAGACGCUAGCACGCCAGAAAGUAAUAUUAAAUUCAAUCCUAGCGUGAGUUCCUCCGGCUCUUCAGGCACUUAUUCCUCGGAAUAUCACGAGGAAGAAGCUCAAGACGCGUUCGCCGCAGAGUUUAGAAAAAUGAAACUGAAAGGAGAAUUUCCUUGCAGACUUUGUUCUGCGAUAUUUCCCAAUUUAAGAGCUUUGAAGGGUCACAAUAGGGCGCACAUGGGAGUAGGACCUGGUAUGCCUUAUCCCUGCAACAUGUGUCCCUAUACCAGUACUGAUAAAGCGACUUUAAUACGACAUUUGAGAUCUCACAACGGCGACAGACCAUAUGAAUGUUCGUUAUGCAAUUAUGCUUUUACGACGAAAGCGAACUGCGAACGUCAUGUGCGAAAUCGGCAUGGCAAAUUGACCAGGGAAGAUAUUAAGAGCGUUUUAAUUUAUCAUCCUAAUGAGGAUUCUACUAAUGAAAACGUGGAGAGAAGUUCACCAAGGGUUUUAAAAGAGGAGGUAAGAAAAAGUUUAAUAUAUUCUACAGAACGUGAAGAAUUUCAUCAUCAGGCACAAAUACAUUAUCCUCCAGUACCAAUAGAUGUUCGAACAGAAAUUAGAAUUAUAGAAGAAGCAAAAUUGCACAAUUCGACAAUGUCUGUACACAACACGAAUCAUUUCGAAAAAAAUGAAAUAUUUUCCAGGCCAAAUCAAGCUAUAGAGUUAAAUCAACGUAAUAUCGAUGAAGGGAAAUCCAGCCAGGAUAUUAAGCCAGAUUAUUCGAAACUUGAUGAUGAAUUGGAUUCGAGGUCAUCAGACGAUCUCGCGUCUCUAGUCAAUGAUGUCAAAUCUGAUUCACACCAAAGAGUACAAGCUAGUCCAAUAAAUUUGAAAAAGGGUUUAAACAUGGCUGAAAAUUCUGGCGAGGACGGGCCAUUGGAUCUCUCAAUGGAUGUGUUAGAUCUUAGCAAAAAAUCAAAGGAGAAAGAGAAUAACGAUUUUAUAUCUCGUGACAAAUUUAACAAAACCGAAAAAGAUUUAUACGCCACCAGUCAAUUAUUAUUGACUGAGGCGUUGCUAAAAGCCGGUCAAGGUAGCACGCAAUCCGCCUCACUUGAAGCUUUAUACGCCAACGCCAUUUAUAGAAAUUUCAGUACAUUUCCAACAGGUACUGGAAUUUUGCCACCGUAUAUGUUUAAUCCUCAUGUUUUUAAUCAAGAUUAUUGCAUGAAAGAGAGAUUACAAAAAGAACUAGUACGAGGACUUCAAUUAACCAGUGGUGGCAGUUUAGUAGAACCAUCUAUGCCUAGUGCCACAGGAUUUAAUAACUUUUCUCAAAAUAGAGAUAUGAAUUCUCAAUCGAUAACCGAACAAAGCGAAUAUGCCAAAUUAAUAUCUUCUAAGAUGGUUAAUAAAAGUUUGACGCAUCGCGACAAACAGGAUAAUUUAGCUUCUUCGAAUUCUGUAAAAAUGGUGAUUAAAAAUGGAGUGUUAAUGCCUAAGCAAAAGCAAAGACGAUAUAGAACUGAAAGACCAUUUACUUGUGAGCAUUGCUCAGCGAGAUUUACUUUAAGAAGUAAUAUGGAAAGACAUAUUAAGCAGCAACAUCCUCAGCAUUGGAGCCAGAGACCUAGAGGAGGCCACUCGACCAGAGGUAGACCUCCUAGCCAUCCUACUUUGCUGCAAAAUCUUGGACAGACUUCUCAGGUUACCCAAUCGUUUAAUAUUUUGCCAAAAAUCAAUGAACAAUCAAUGAGUUCAGAAUUCGCAAAGCAUUCUAUUUCAGAUCAAGUAAAAUAUGCAAUUUUGGCGCAGCAGUUAAAAACGAACAAAGUAGAGGAAAAUGAUUCUGAGGAAGAAUUAAUUAUAGAUGAAGAUCCUCAAGAGAAAGAGGAUGAUAAAUCUCAAGAUCAAAAAGAAAAAAGUUUAUUAAGAGAUCAAUUAGAAAUUACAGAUUCUAUCACAAUGAAGGAAGAAGAUAAAAAAUCUGAUUCAAAAGAAACAAACGAGAUUGAAAAAAACGAGAAGAUGAUUAAUGAAAAAAAAAAAGAAUCUAAGAUGGAGAAAUCUGAAACAAAAACAUCAAUAGAUAAAGGCCCUAAUACAAUAUUAAAAAUUGAAAUAAAAAGUGAAAAAAUAGAAGAUGGAGUAACUGACUUGGCUAGCGUGUCAGAAUUAUUAGAUAACGCUUCUCAACAAUAUCAACAAUUUCAACCGCAAUAUUUAAGCGAUGAGGAAGGUUUAGCCGCCUCUAAUAGCGAUUGCAAUAAUUCCGGUAGCGAUGAAAAAUCUGAUUCUAUAAAUUCUUCAAAUUCGAUAAAUAAUCCAUCUAAGAAAAAAAAGAAAAAGAAGAAGAAGAAGAAGAAAAAAUCUGCGUAUUCUAUGGCCCCAAAUCGAGUAAUUUGUCCAUAUUGUGAAAGACCAUUUCCUUGGACUUCUUCUCUCAGAAGGCAUAUAUUAACCCAUACGGGUCAAAAACCAUACCAAUGUGUUCACUGUUCCUUGCUUUUCACUACUAAAUCAAAUUGUGAUCGCCAUCUAUUAAGAAAGCAUAAAGCUAAUCCCAAUAAAAUACGUCGGAUCAGAAAUUCUUCUUCUCCCGAUUCCCAAACAAUGAUUAACAAUAAUAAUUCAUUCUCAAUGAGAAAUGUUCCAGAAAGACCAUAUAAGUGCAAUCAAUGCCCUAGUUCAACUUUUUCUACUUUAGGAAAUUUAAAGAAGCAUCGUUCCACUAAACAUGCACGAAAAAUAAAACCAAGAUCAGAUACUCCAUCCAGUGAACCUCAAAAUAGUCCUCAGGAGUGUCGAAAACAAAAUAAUGAACAAACUGAUUAUGAUAGUCAAUCUUCGAGUAUAUCUGAAGGCACAGAGACUUCAUCAAUACCAAGAAUUCCUAAAUCCACAUCGAAUAUUUCACCAUCGGCUAAUGAUGUUCCCAGAUCGAGAAAAGCGUCGCCAAGAUCAUCACCGGGACCAGGUGAUGUACCGUUUAAAUGUCAUUUAUGUGACUGUGGUUUUGCAGAACGACAGGAUUGCUUAGAACACAUUAAAAUUAAUCAUAAGCGAUCCUAUGAAAUGUUAAUGGCGAAAGGAGCAUUGGAUAUGGAAAUAGGUGAUACAGUGGAAGAUCACCAACAAUUACCAUUACAUCAAACUAGCGAUGGUGAAGAAAAAAAAGGACGUUUUCCAGAUUAUAGUAAUAGGAAGGUAGUUUGUGCCUUUUGCAUAAGACGAUUCUGGUCUGCAGAAGAUCUUCGUCGUCAUAUGAGAACUCAUACUGGAGAACGGCCUUUUUCCUGCGAUAUUUGUUGUAGAAGAUUUACCUUGAAACAUAGCAUGCUGCGACAUAGGAAGAAACAUGAAUCUAUCGAUUCGACAAUGUAUAUUGGUACAAGUGGCGAUGAAGAGAAUUCUCCAACACAGCCACCAACAAUUACACCACGAAGUCAGCAACAACAGCCAAUUCUAUUGGCAACCAAUAACGGAAAUUCCCUAAUUCAAGAUAGAAUCUCUUUACCUACUGUUGCUUCAGUCGCUACUGGUGAUGCUGCACCAAGUGGACUGAUGAGAUUUAAUCCUUACGAGAAAUUAACUACUCUCACGGGAAAGUUGGAAUAAGAGAUAAAAAUUUCAUGGAUCGAGUACUGCAAGGAACUGCUGACGAUGCCGCUAAAUUAUUAGGACAAAAACGGCUGCGUACAAAUCGACGUGUGCUCGCCAAAAGAAGAGUUUAAAAAAUUUGGGGUGUUUUCCGUUUUGUUUUAAGUUCCUUCAAUAAUAUCUAGAUUUUUUUUUGAUUAUAAGUUAUAUAAGUAUUGUGCAAGUUAGUUCAAAUAAAUUAUAUGUGUAUACAAA